GGGUUAGGGUUAUGGUUAGGGUUAGGGUUGGAGCUAGGGUUAGGGUUAGGGUUAGGGUUGGAGUUAGGGUUAGUGUUGGAGCUAGGGUUAGGGUUGGGCUUGGAGCUAGGAUUUUUCUGAGUGCACUGAACCAACUCCCGAGUCUCUAGGACAUUCCUAAAAAAAUUUGAUUUUUUCCCAUAGGAAUGCAUGGGUUAGGGUUAGGGUUAGGGUUGGAGCUAGGGUUAGGGUUAGGGUUAGGGUUGGAGUUAGGGUUAGUGUUGGAGCUAGGGUUAGGGUUGGGCUUGGAGCUAGGAUUUUUCUGAGUGCACUGAACCAACUCCCGAGUCUCUAGGACGUUCCUAAAAAAAUUGAUUUUUUUCCCAUAGGAAUGCAUGGGUUCGAGUUAUGGUUAGGGUUAGGGUUGGAGCUAGGGUUAGGGUUAGGGUUAGGGUUGGAGUUAGGGUUAGUGUUGGAGCUAGGGUUAGGGUUGGGCUUGGAGCUAGGAUUUUUCUGAGUGCAAUGAACCAACUCCCGAGUCUCUGGACGUUCCUAAAAAAAUUUGAUUUUUUCCCAUAGGAAUGCAUGGGUUAGGGUUAGGGUUAGGGUUGGAGCUAGGGUUAGGGUUAGGGUUAGGGUUGAAGUUAGGGUUAGUGUUGGAGCUAGGGUUAGGGUUGGGCUUGGAGCUAGGAUUUUUCUGAGUGCACUGAACCAACUCCCGAGUCUCUAGGAUGUUCCUAAAAAAAUUUGAUUUUUUUCCCAUAGGAAUGCAUGGGUUAGGGUUAGGGUUAGGGUUGGAGC